rnacentral:rRNA from 1 species
UACGAAGGGGGCUAGCGUUGCUCGGAAUCACUGGGCGUAAAGCGCACGUAGGCGGAUCUUUAAGUCAGGGGUGAAAUCCCAAGGCUCAACCUUGGAACUGCCUUUGAUACUGGGGAUCUCGAGUCCGGAAGAGGUUGGUGGAACUGCGAGUGUAGAGGUGAAAUUCGUAGAUAUUCGCAAGAACACCAGUGGCGAAGGCGGCCAACUGGUCCGGUACUGACGCUGAGGUGCGAAAGCGAUGGGGAGCAAAC